CUCAGAUUGAACGCUGGCGGCAUGCCUUACACAUGCAAGUCGAACGGUAACAGGUCUUCGGAUGCUGACGAGUGGCGAACGGGUGAGUAAUACAUCGGAACGUGCCCGAGAGUGGGGGAUAACGAAGCGAAAGCUUUGCUAAUACCGCAUACGAUCUCAGGAUGAAAGCAGGGGACCGCAAGGCCUUGCGCUCACGGAGCGGCCGAUGGCAGAUUAGGUAGUUGGUGGGAUAAAAGCUUACCAAGCCGACGAUCUGUAGCUGGUCUGAGAGGACGACCAGCCACACUGGGACUGAGACACGGCCCAGACUCCUACGGGAGGCAGCAGUGGGGAAUUUUGGACAAUGGGCGCAAGCCUGAUCCAGCCAUGCCGCGUGCAGGAUGAAGGCCUUCGGGUUGUAAACUGCUUUUGUACGGAACGAAAAGACUCUGGUUAAUACCUGGGGUCCAUGACGGUACCGUAAGAAUAAGCACCGGCUAACUACGUGCCAGCAGCCGCGGUAAUACGUAGGGUGCGAGCGUUAAUCGGAAUUACUGGGCGUAAAGCGUGCGCAGGCGGUUAUGUAAGACAGAUGU
rnacentral:rRNA from 1 species